rnacentral:rRNA from 1 species
UACGUAGGGUGCGAGCGUUAAUCGGAAUUACUGGGCGUAAAGUGUGCGCAGGCGGCGCCGCAAGUCGAGUGUGAAAGCCCCGAGCUUAACUUGGGAAUUGCGCUCGAAACUAUGGUGCUGGAGUGUGGCAGAGGAAGGUGGAAUUCCACGUGUAGCGGUGAAAUGCGUAGAGAUGUGGAGGAACACCGAUGGCGAAGGCGGCUCACUGGCCCGAUACUGACGCUGAGGUGCGAAAGCGUGGGGAGCAAACAGG